UUGUUUUUGGAAUUACGAAAUUAUGGUAUCAAACUUUGCAGUUUCUUACCGAUUUUUGAAUUACUUUGUAGCCCUGAAGGUCCAGCGCAAGCAUUAUAAUACCUCCAAAAUUCAGUUGUCGGGCUUGAAUGCCACUAUUCCGUAUAUUUCUACGCUCCGGUGUAGUAGUUGAACCUAUAAAAUGGAAAACCGUUCAUGUUAUAGUAAAACACUUGUAAUAUUUACAUACUUUGAGAAUGUGGGGUUCGUCGAAUACGUGGCGAUAAAUUCGCCAUGGAGUAGAAAUCAGGGCAUUCCUUCCUUGGGGUCAGGAAGAUGAGAUCAGUUGUCUGGGGCACUACAGUGGACGCAUCAAUUUUACUUGCCUCCAGUGGUGAUUGACUUUCAAUUUGUUUUUACCUCGAGGAGGCAAAAUCGUUGGUACCGCAGAUUGAUGCAGCCUUUGUGUACCUUGGACAUAGUCUUCAGCCCGAAAAUGUUGGUAGCAAAUGUACCCUCUCCGAUAAAUUUGGUCAUUUGUUAAACCCUCGAAUUUUGGGUUAUUGGAGGCUUUAACCCAUGCCAUAAACCUAUCUAGACCCCGUUUCGGAUGUGGAAACCUAAAUAUAGGGGCCAUCCUGUUCCCACAUUUAUAAAUUGCACAAGUUUUGUGCGUUUUUUGUGCUUCCAUUCUUUUUUCUACAAACAUUUGUUAUAAUAAUGCUAUAAACAAUGAACAUAAAGUGAAAACAUUUGUAUA